CAACCUUUGGUUUCUCUUUGGGGAAAGCUGCUUUCAGCACAUACGGGAAGCUAUCGGAAGCAUCCUAGGAUCAGGACACCCCAGAUCUUCUUGACUGGAGCCACGAAGGCUGUUUCUUCCACACAGCACUUUGAUCUGCAUUUAAGAUCCAAACCCACCAGUCACGAACCUAAGGAUGAAAGCAAAGGCUCAGCGGUUGACCUGGGACCUUAAUAGAAAUGUGACCGAUAUCGAGUGUGUCAAAGACGCCGACUAUUCUAUGCCGGUAUCUGGUGAUGCAGAGACUCUUUCCCCUCAUCCCUCACAUGAAAGACCCCAUCGGUGACAGCUUCCAAAACGACAAGCUGGUGGUCUGGGAGGCGGGCAAAGUCUGCCUGGAGGAGUGUCUGGUGACUGAGGUACAGGUCGUGCAGAAAACUUGAGACUGGGGUUCAGGGCCUGUGGGGGGCUGCCUCAAAUCUCCCUGGCCAGGCCAGGCGCCUGCACAGACUAGCUGCUGGACCUGCGCACGCAGCCCAGGAAUGGACGUUCCUAAUGGGCGGUGGGCGUGGGAGAUGCCUGCGUAAUUUAGUCUGAAGCUGCCAGGAACAGGAAAGAACAGAACUUUGUGUGUUUAUUUCAUGAUAAAAUGCUUUUUUUUUUUUUUUUUUUAACCCACUCACUGGUCCCCGUCUCUGGAUUCACCCCCGUUCCUCCAACACUACAAGAUUGUUUCCACUGGUUUUUUUUUUGGAGAUGGAGUCUCGCUCUGUCACCCAGGCUGGAGUGCAGUGAUGCAGUCUCAGCUCACUGCAACCUUCGCCUCCCGGGUUCAAGCGAUUCCCCUGCCUCAGCCUCCCAAGUAGCUGGGAUUACAGGUGCCCGCCACCACCCGCGACUAAUUUUUGUAUUUUCAGUACAGAUGGGGUUUCACCAUGUUGGCCAGGUUGAUCUCUUGGCCAGGCUGGUCUCGAACUCCUGACCUUGUAAUCCACCUGCCUUGGCCUCCCAAAGUGCUGGGAUUACAGGCGUGAGCCACCACACCUGGAGUUUUUUCUUUUUUUGAGACCGAGUCUCGGUCUGUCACCCAGGCUGGAGUGCAGUGACGCGAUCUCGGCUCACUGCAACCUCCGCCUCCGGGGUUCAAACGUGUCCUGCCUCAGCUUCCUGAGUAGCUGGGAUUACAGGCACCUGCCACCACACCUGGCCAAUUUUUGUAUUUUUAGUAGAGAUGGGGUUUCACCAUGUUGGCUAGGCUGGUCUUGAACUCCUGACCUCAAGUGAUCCACCCGCCUCGUCCUCUCAAAGUACUGGGAUUACAGGCGUGAGCCACAGUGCCCAGCUUCCAGUGUUUUAUAACUGCCUCCUCCAGGACUUCUGAGAAACACAUCAGCUUUACUGCUUUCCGAGGGUGCCAGAUGUCCAGCCUGGCCUGUCUGUCCUCUCCGGCCCCCAGUUGUACACAUGACCCUGGCUGUAUGGCUUUUUAUUUUUUGUGACGGAGUCUCACUCUGUCGCCAGGCUGGAGUGCAAUGGCACGAUCUCGGCUCACUGCAACCUCCACCUCCGGGUUUCAAGCGAUUCCCCUGCCUUAGCCUCCCGAGUAGCUGGGAUUACAGGCGUGCGCCACCACGCCUGGCUAAUUUUUGUAUUUUUAGUAGAGACGGGGUUUCAUCACAUUAGCCAGGCUGGUCUCGAUCUCUUGACCUGGUGAUCCACCUUCCUCGGCCUCCCAAAGUGCUGGGAUUACAGGCGUGAGCCACCGCGCCCAGCCUGGCUGCCCGUCUCUUUCUAAGCCACCUUACAGGGCUUGUGUAGCCAGGUACACUCCAAUGUCCCUAAAUGUGCUGUGUCCACGCACCUUUUUACCCACAGACGUGAGGAGCUGCCCACAUCCGGCGGGGGCUCUGGGAUCUGCCCUGACAGGUUCAGUUGUGCUCACACCCCGAGGCCAGCCUGGGCUCUUUUCUCCCCACCCUGGCCUGACCUGUGUCCCCGCCCUCAUUCCCCAGAGCUGGAUGGAUGCUGGCUUGACUUCUGACCCCCUCCCCAGGCCCUGUCUCCCGGUUGGGAUCUUCCCCACUAAGCCUCUGCUGGGUGUGAGGGCCAAACUGAAAACAGGGGUACUUGGAGCUGCAGGACCAGCGUCGCCUGUGUGUGGCGAGGGAGGCCGGGCAGCCUGGCGCAGGAAAGCAGGGAGAAGGAAUCCAGGCAGCAGUGACGCUGGCAAGGAGGGAGCCCACCAGCCCACCUGCAGCCCCUGGGGACGGUCCCAACGUCUGCGGGUUGAACGUAAAACACGGAGCCCUCCCAGGGAGUCCUGGAUGCCCCACUAUAAAUCCACAGGAAGGAACUGUUAUUUUUUUUUUAGAUGGAGUCUAGCUCUGUCAC